rnacentral:rRNA from 1 species
CUAGUAGGUGGGGUAAUGGCUCACCUAGGCGACGAUCCCUAGCUGGUCUGAGAGGAUGACCAGCCACACUGGAACUGAGACACGGUCCAGACUCCUACGGGAGGCAGCAGUGGGGAAUAUUGCACAAUGGGCGCAAGCCUGAUGCAGCCAUGCCGCGUGUAUGAAGAAGGCCUUCGGGUUGUAAAGUACUUUCAGCGAGGAGGAAGGCAUUAAGGUUAAUAACCUUGGUGAUAGACGUACUCGCAGAAGAAGCCC